UCCUACGGGAGGCAGCAGUGGGGAAUUUUGGACAAUGGGCGCAAGCCUGAUCCAGCCAUGCCGCGUGCGGGAAGAAGGCCUUCGGGUUGUAAACCGCUUUUGUUCAGGGAAGAAAAGGUUCUGGCUAAUACCUGGGACUCAUGACGGUACCUGAAGAAUAAGCACCGGCUAACUACGUGCCAGCAGCCGCGGUA
rnacentral:rRNA from 1 species